UACGGAGGGUGCAAGCGUUAUCCGGAUUUACUGGGUUUAAAGGGUGUGUAGGCGGACUAUUAAGUCAGCGGUGAAAUCUCCGGGCUCAACCCGGAAACUGCCAUUGAUACUAUUAGUCUUGAAUGUUGUUGAGGUGGGCGGAACGGGUCAUGUAGCGGUGAAAUGCAUAGAUAUGACCCGGAACACCGAUUGCGAAGGCAGCCCACUAAGCAACGAUUGACGCUGAGGCACGAAAGCGUGGGGAUCAAACAGGAGU
rnacentral:rRNA from 1 species